rnacentral:rRNA from 1 species
UACGGGGGGGGCAAGCGUUGUUCGGAAUUACUGGGCGUAAAGGGCGCGUAGGCGGCCCGCUAAGUCGAACGUGAAAUCCCCGAGCUCAACUCGGGAACUGCGUCCGAUACUGGCGGGCUUGAAUCCGGGAGAGGGAUGCGGAAUUCUUGGUGUAGCGGUGAAAUGCGUAGAUAUCAAGAGGAACACCUGAGGUGAAGACGGGUUGCUGGGCUGACACUGACGCUGAGGCGCGAAAGCCAGGGGAGCAAACGGG